GAGCUUGGCUAACUUGUCCAGUGGGUCAUUUACUUUGAUAGACAGAAAAUGAGCAGACUUAGUUAGUCUAUCAACGAAAAUCCAAAUGACAUCAUGGUGAGAUCUUGUUUUAGGUAGACCCACCAUGAAAUUCACGGUAAUAUGUUCUCAUUUCCACUCUGCUUUGGCAAGGUUUAGCCUUCAUUAAUUGGUAGAUGAAACAUUUGGAAAUGAACUCUCCUGUACCCUUCUUCAUCCCACUCCAUCGAUAUUUGGUCCUCAAGUUCUUAUAC
rnacentral:lncRNA from 1 species